rnacentral:rRNA from 1 species
CCUACGGGUGGCAGCAGUGGGGAAUAUUGGGCAAUGGGCGAAAGCCUGACCCAGCAAUGCCGCGUGAAUGAAGAAGGUCUUCUGAUUGUAAAGUUCUUUCCUCUGGGAAGAAAACCAUGACGUUACCAUACUAGUACGCCCCCGCUAACUACGUGCCAGCAGCUGCGGUACUACGUAGGGGGCGAGCGUUUUACGGAAUUACUGGGCGUAAAGAGAGCGUAGGCGGUAAUACAAGUCACAUGUGAAAUACCCGGGCUUAACCUGGGGGUUGCAUGGGAAACUGUAGAGCUUGAGUACAGGAGAGGCAAGCGGAAUUCCAAGUGUAGCGGUGAAAUGCAUAGAGAUGAGGAGGAACACCAGUGGCGAAGGCGGCUUGCUGGACUGAAACUGACGCUGAGGUUCGAAAGCGUGGGGAGCAAACAGGAUUAGAUACCCUAGUAGUC